rnacentral:rRNA from 1 species
GGGGAGGGCUACAUGCAGUCGAACGAAGCACUGAAAGCAGAUUACUCCGGUUUGAAGCUUUCUUUGACUGAGUGGCGGACGGGUGAGUAACGCGUGGGUAACCUGCCUCAUACAGGGGGAUAACAGUUAGAAAUGACUGCUAAUACCGCAUAAGCGCACGGUUUCGCAUGGAACAGUGUGAAAAACUCCGGUGGUAUGGGAUGGACCCGCGUCUGAUUAGCUGGUUGGCGGGGUAACGGCCCACCAAGGCGACGAUCAGUAGCCGGCCUGAGAGGGUGAACGGCCACAUUGGGACUGAGACACGGCCCAAACUCCUACGGGAGGCAGCAGUGGGGAAUAUUGCACAAUGGGGGAAACCCUGAUGCAGCGACGCCGCGUGAAGGAAGAAGUAUUUCGGUAUGUAAACUUCUAUCAGCAGGGAAGAAAAUGACGGUACCUGACUAAGAAGCCCCGGCUAACUACGUGCCAGCAGCCGCGGUAAUACGUAGGGGGCAAGCGUUAUCCGGAUUUACUGGGUGUAAAGGGAGCGUAGGCGGUGCAGCAAGUCAGAAGUGAAAGCCCGGGGCUCAACUCCGGGACUGCUUUUGAAACUGUUGAACUAGAUUGCAGGAGAGGUAAGUGGAAUUCCUAGGGUAGCGGUGAAAUGCGUAGAUAUUAGGAGGAACACCAGUGGCGAAGGCGGCUUACUGGACUGUAAAUGACGCUGAGGCUCGAAAGCGUGGGGAGCAAACAGGAUUAGAUACCCUGGUA